GGGGAUGUAGCUCAGUGGCAGAGUGCUUGCCUUGAAUGCACCAUCCCUGGGUUUAAUCCUAGCACCACCA
rnacentral:tRNA from 1 species